ACGGAAAUGACUCAGUGUGCAUUCCGUGCCAGUAUGUCCACAUGACCGUUCCACGAAAAAAUAGAAUGUGUCCUUUUAUUGUCCGCAUUACGGACAAGGAUUUAGGACUGUUCUUUUAGGGGCCGGCCCUUCCACUCCACAAAAUGCGGACUGCACAUUGGUCGGUAUCCUAUGUUUUGCGGACUACAAAACACCCAACGGUUGUGUGCAUGAGCCCUUACGUGGCAUCCUUGUUAAAGGUGUCGUCUAUUUCCGUCAGCCCUAUAGAAUUAAAUGGAGUGGUGGCCACGCUUGCAUGGUGUGCUUCCAAUUAAUUUCAAUGGGACUUCCGAAAAUAGCCGAGCCUGCUGCUCGGCUAAUUUCGGCACUCCAUUAGAAAUGAAUGGAGGGCCGGCCUCGCAUGCGCUGUGCGCCCUCUUUCACUUUACGGGCUCUUCGUUUUAAGGACCCACACCCUUCAGACACUGGGGCAUAUCCUAGCAUAUGCCCCCAAUGUACAAGAUGGGCCAACCCCUUUAAAUCCCAUUGAUGUCAGUGUUCCUAAUAUUAUCCCCCAAUUGCAAACUCAUGUGCUGAUUGAGAUCAGUGGGACUCUACGGUUUGUAACUUUCCGCUCGCAGAUCUAACCCUGCCUGUAAUAUACUCUGACCUCAUUAUGUUAUUUCAUUAUAAAAAGUCGUCCAUCUCUGGGGCGUUUUGACGUACUCUGUGUCUUUCUUUCUCUCAGCAGACGAUCACCAGAUCUAUGCCAUACACGUGACGCAGCUGGAGAGGGAUACUGUUUUAGUCUGCCUUGACCAAUACGUCAAAAUAGUCAACCUUCAGGGAAAACUUAAAUCCAGUAAAAAGCUGGCCUCUGAACUGAGCUUCAAGUUUCAGGUCGAGUCUGUGGUCUGCCUGCAGGACAGUGUGUUGGCUUUCUGGAAACACGGCAUGCA